rnacentral:lncRNA from 1 species
GAAAGUACCUGGUGAAACAGUGUGGCGAUGUUUCCUCCCUUGUCACUGAGUCCCUAUCCCUCUGAAGCCCUUUACACAACAGACAACCAGGACCAGCCUCUACACACUGUAAGGUCACGUAGCACAUGAGAUCGGUCUAGUUUGAACAACACACAGGUUGUUAUUAUAAUAGAGAAUGUGUUGUUAAUGAGUCACCUGGUUAUAUAACAGGCAAAACCACUCCCCCUCCAAGUUAAAACAUGUUUUCACCUAUUAAACGUUAUUGGUCAGUUGAAAACUGGUCCCGGUCAUGUCGUUGACCGGUCAUGUCAGUUGACCCGGUCAUGUCAGUUGACCCGGUCAUGUCAGUGACCCUGGUCAGAUCCCGUUCAUGUCACGGUUGAACCGUCAUGUCAUUGAACCGGUUCCGGUCAUGUCAGUGGAACCGGUUCCGGUCAUGUCAGUGGAACCGGUUUCCCGGUCAUGUCAGUGGAACCGGUUCCGGUCAUGUCAGUGGAACCGGUUCGGGUCAUGUCAGUGGAACCGGUUCCGGUCAUGUCAGUGGAACCGGUUCCGGUCAUGUCAGUGU